CGCGGCCUAUCAGCUUGUUGGUGGGGUAAUGGCCUACCAAGGCGACGACGGGUAGCCGGCCUGAGAGGGCGACCGGCCACACUGGGACUGAGACACGGCCCAGACUCCUACGGGAGGCAGCAGUGGGGAAUAUUGCACAAUGGGCGGAAGCCUGAUGCAGCAACGCCGCGUGAGGGAUGACGGCCUUCGGGUUGUAAACCUCUUUCAGCAGGGAAGAAGCGAAAGUGACGGUACCUGCAGAAGAAGCGCCGGCUAACUACGUGCCAGCAGCCGCGGUAAUACGUAGGGCGCAAGCGUUGUCCGGAAUUAUUGGGCGUAAAGAGCUCGUAGGCGGCUUGUCACGUCGGGUGUGAAAGCCCGGGGCUUAACCCCGGGUCUGCACCCGAUACGGGCAGGCUAGAGUGUGGUAGGGGAGAUCGGAAUUCCUGGUGUAGCGGUGAAAUGCGCAGAUACCAGGAGGAACACCGGUGGCGAAGGCGGAUCUCUGGGCCAUUACUGACGCUGAGGAGCGAAAGCGUGGGGAGCGAACAGGAUUAGAUACCCUGGUAGUCCACGCCGUAAACGUUGGGAACUAGGUGUUGGCGACAUUCCACGUCGUCGGUGCCGCAGCUAACGCAUUAAGUUCCCCGCCUGGGGAGUACGG
rnacentral:rRNA from 1 species